AUUGAACGCUGGCGGCAGGCUUAACACAUGCAAGUCGAACGGUAACAUGAAGAAGCUUGCUUCUUUGAUGACGAGUGGCGGACGGGUGAGUAAUGCUUGGGAAUCUAGCUUAUGGAGGGGGAUAACUACGGGAAACUGUAGCUAAUACCGCGUAGAAUCGAGAGAUGAAAGUGUGGGACCUUCGGGCCACAUGCCAUAGGAUGAGCCCAAGUGGGAUUAGGUAGUUGGUGAGGUAAAGGCUCACCAAGCCGACGAUCUCUAGCUGGUCUGAGAGGAUGACCAGCCACACUGGGACUGAGACACGGCCCAGACUCCUACGGGAGGCAGCAGUGGGGAAUAUUGCGCAAUGGGGGCAACCCUGACGCAGCCAUGCCGCGUGAAUGAAGAAGGCCUUCGGGUUGUAAAGUUCUUUCGGUUAGCGAGGAGGCAUUUAGUUAAUAGACUAGGUGAUUGACGUUAAC
rnacentral:rRNA from 1 species